ACGAAGGGUGCAAGCGUUACUCGGAAUUACUGGGCGUAAAGCGUGCGUAGGUGGUUCGUUAAGUCUGUCGUGAAAGCCCCGGGCUCAACCUGGGAAUGGCGAUGGAUACUGGCGGGCUAGAGUGCGGUAGAGGAGAGUGGAAUUCCCGGUGUAGCAGUGAAAUGCGUAGAGAUCGGGAGGAACAUCGGUGGCGAAGGCGGCCAUCUGGACGACAACUGACGCUGAGACGCGAAAGCGUGGGGAGCAAACAGGA
rnacentral:rRNA from 1 species